AGAUACCGCCUCCACCACAGUUCUGACAACUUGUUCCUAAGCAUUUGUCAACCUUGUUUGUAUUAUUGCCAGUGUUAUACAUGGCCGGACACUGCGCCACGCGACUGCAUUGCCAGCCACGAGGAAGUCUGACAAGUAUCACAAGCUCGAGGACUGACUGGACUAUAAAGUGGGACUUGUCUUAAAAGACCAGGAGCAACAUUGGAGAAGAUGCAGAAAGUGGCAUCUGUCUUUGCUACUCACAUCCAUACAGCAAUGAACAAAGGAGAACAGUUUUCAUAGACCAUGCCAAGAUUGUCAGACAAGAAAAACAAAUCUAUCUGAAAACCAAGUAAAGGAAAUGAUACUGCUCCAGUGAUAUCUAUAAUGUCUUUAUUUGUCUUGACCAACAUUGAGAAGCAAGUUCGAGCUCAACCAUCCUGUGUGUCUGACUUCUGCUAAGUGUGGAGCAUCAUGCCAUCCCAAGUGCCUGUUAGAACUGAGUGGUGGCACCAAUACAGACAGAAAUGGUUCGUGGGCUCCUUACCUGGCAACUCAGAAGCAGGAAUGUUCUGACGAUACUGGUAGGUCAGCUCUCGGAAGCUACGCAGACCACAGCAGUAACACAGCACAGUAUUUCCAGUGAUUCUGUAAUCUGGGGAACAUAGCCAUAUCUGGACACAGCCAUUUAUCAAGCAAUGUCAUUUUCUAACACCAAAAUAGACACACUUCAAACUAGUAGGAAACUAAAACAUCAACUCAAUGGGUUAGACAUUUGGAAAAUAAUCCCAAAACCAAUCUAAAUACCAAUUUAGCUGGAUUUUUAUUUAUUUUUAUUUUAUCAGUGUUUAUGUGCAUUAAUGUCUGGGCAUCAUAUGUAUGCAGUAGGUGCAAAGAUGAGAAGAGGCACUGGAUCCUCUGGCACCAGAGUUACAGAUAGUCAUGAGCCACCAUGUAGGCACUGGGAACCCUGGUCUUCUCCAAGAGCAACGCAUGUUCACAGCUACUAAAAUAAUCACCCGUGGAUUAAAAUUUUAAAUAUUUAAAAAUCCCCCCAAAAGUUUUAAGAUUGGAGAGAGUAUUCUCUUGUGCUAAAGUAAAUUAAAUUAGUAAUUCCUUAUCUGAAAUACAUGGGUCAGAGGUAUUUAAUAUGGUUAAUUAUUCCUUAUCUAGAACAUGUAGGUCACUGAUAUUCUGGCUUAGAUUGAUUUUUCAGAUUUGAACAUAUUUGCGUUUAUGUUCCCAAGGAUUAAAAUAAAUUGCUUGUAUAAGUGUUUUGCCUG
rnacentral:lncRNA from 1 species